rnacentral:rRNA from 1 species
UAGGGUUUGAUCAUGGCUCAGAUUGAACGCUGGCGGAAUGCUUUACACAUGCAAGUCGAACGGUAGAGGGGGCAACCCCUUGAGAGUGGCGAACGGGUGAGUAAUGUAUCGGAACGUGCCCAGUCGUGGGGGAUAACGUAGUGAAAAUUACGCUAAUACCGCAUACGAUCUAUGGAUGAAAGCGGGGGAUCGCAAGACCUCGCGCGAUUGGAGCGGCCGAUAUCAGAUUAGGUAGUUGGUAGGGUAAAGGCCUACCAAGCCAACGAUCUGUAGCUGGUCUGAGAGGACGACCAGCCACACUGGAACUGAGACACGGUCCAGACUCCUACGGGAGGCAGCAGUGGGGAAUUUUGGACAAUGGGCGAAAGCCUGAUCCAGCCAUUCCGCGUGCAGGAUGAAGGCCCUCGGGUUGUAAACUGCUUUUGUACAGAACGAAAAGGUUUCUAUUAAUACUAGGAGCUCAUGACGGUACUGUAAGAAUAAGCACCGGCUAACUACGUGCCAGCCGCCGCGGUAAUAC